UUGCCAAGCUUAAAUUCCAUGAUCAGUGUUUAUAAUUGUUCCCUUAUGUAUACCCUUGACUCUUUUGCCUCUUCAGAUUUAUCAUACUUACUUGGAAGACUAGAAUCUUGGUUAAAAUCCAACUCUCUGCUUGUGCCAACCUCCACCCAACAGCUAAGUGUGACUGGAGAAAAACAUAUAGUUAUGGUGUAUGGUCUCACUUUAAACUUAUGAAUGUAUCCUCAAAUAUGCCCUUAAUACUACUUAACAUAUCACAACAACCAGGAUAUUGCAGCUUAAUUUCCCAAGAUUAUUCAGCUUCCCAGUCCUCUGGACAACAUUUUCACACUUUCACUCUUUUCAAAUACCCAAACUUCCUUCCUAUCUUCACUAAGAAAAUGAAAGCAAUCAGAAGCAAACUUCCACAGACUUCUACCCACCAUAUUUACCCACCUACUAGUAUAGGUAUUACAUCUCUGUCUCCAUGCCUUUUACUAUCCAUGAUCCUACUUAAAGCCAACUUCCUUUUAGGCACUAAAUCCACCCCCUAUAGUCCACUCAAUGACACCAUUCCAGCACUCUCUGCUGGAUUAUUUUCAUUCAAAUGCAAAUAGGAUGGUGUCACUCCCAUCUUUAAGAAACAUUAAAAAAAAAUAGAAACAAUAAUUCCUCCAGAUUCCACUUAACCCACUGGCUGUUUCAUUUCUUCCCUCCCUUCUGAACAAAAACACCUCCAGGAAGUGAUAUAUUGCUCCUGUCUAAAUUUAUUUCUUGCCAUUUGCCAUUAAAACCAACCUAGUCAGAUUUUUGCCUCCAGUGAAACUGGUCUUAACUGUUUACUCUGAAUGUGAACAAUAUCCACCAUGUUGCCAAGUGAGCAGCCCAGUCCUCCUCCUGCUCACAUAUCAGCAGCAUUUGGCACAGUUAAUUACUUCCUCCUUCUUGCUACACUUUUUCACUUGGCUCCCAGGACACCACAUUCUCAUGUUUUUCUCCUAUCUCACUGGCUACUCCUUUAUCUCCUUUGUUGGUUCUUCCUCUUUCUUUCAUACCCUUGAAUGCUGUAAUGCCCCAGGGCUUAGUCCUUGAUUCUGCUCUUUUCUUUAACAACACUGAUUCCCUCGGUAGAAAAAGCAAUAUUAUGGCUUUAAUACCAGUGAUAUAGUGCUGAUCUCCAAAUGUAUAUCUCUGACUCAGACCACACUCACAAGCUCCAGAUAUGUAUGUCCUCUGAUGCAAAAUAAACAUCUUAAACAGAACAUGCCCAAAUCUGAACUCCUUAUCUUAUUGCCAAAACCUGUUCUUUCAGUUAGGGGAAACCCCACUUUCCCAAUCAGCAGAUGAAAAACCCUGGAGUCCUCUUUGACUUUCCUCUUUCUGUCAUAGCCCACAUCCUUUCCAACCACAAAUCUUAUUGGCUGUACUUUCAAAAUAUAUUCAGAAUCUGAAUGCUUUUCACCACCUUCUCCGCUGCCACCUGCUCUAAGCCAUCAUCUGUCACCUGGCUAUUGCGGUAGCCUCUUAACAGUUCUCCCACUUUGUCCCUUGCCCCUUUACAAGUUACUCCCAGCAUGGCAGCUAGAGUGAUUCCUUUAAAAUGCUCAUAUUAGUCUUCUGCUCAAGAUCCCAAAUUGACCUCCCAUUGGCACAGAGUAAAAGACAAUGGCUUCCUAGACCUUACAGGACUGAAAACACUAUCUUACUUACCUCUCUGACCUCACCUUCAGCUGCUGUCCCCCUUGAUCACUCCACUCCAGCCACACUGGCCCCUUCUUCCUAGAACACAGGUCAGACAAACCUCCACCUACACUUUAGCUAUUCCUUCUGUGUGGAUGUUAUUUCCAGCUUGGAUAACUCCCUAACUUCUUUGCUCAAAUGCCACCAUAACGUGGAGGCUUACCUUCACCACCUUAAUUAUUACCUCAAUGACACCACUGUGCACGCACACAUCACUGCUCCCCACUUGCCCUGUCCCAUUUGUUUAAAAUUUCAUAUGUCAUUUGUCAUAUUGUAAGGAUUUGGUUAAUUUAUUUUACUCACUGUCUUUCUCCUCUCCCUACCUCUCCCUCCUACAAAGCAAAAUGGAAGCUAUUUGAGGGCAGAGAUCUUUGUAAUAGUCCCUGAUCUAUCAAACCUAGAACUUCAUGUAACCUAUUCAAUAUAUCAAUAAACAAUGUCCUCCUAGAAUUUAUGACCCAGAAAUUUUAGGUAUAAGUUCUAUAGCUAAUUAGUAGAAAAGCUAAACUUGAACUUGGACAUUGUGAAUACAAGUUCAAUGACCUUUCCACUCUAUCGCUCUACCUUCUAGACAAGAACAACCCUCUCUCAAACCCCUGAAAUACCAACAUUGUUUGUUAAAUGUUGACAACUUAGCAAGUAUAAAAUAAACUAUUUUAAUUAAAUAGUUGUUUAUUAGGACAGAUAAACAUUUUUCAUGUUUUUUGCCGAAUUAACUGAAUUGGCAUGUACUUUACACCUCCCAAAUUUCUGCUUUGUGGCCAGGAAUGAUUGCUUUCUUAGAUCUCUUUACUGUCUCUUUACUACCAUUACAACACUAGCAGAUGAUUUUCUUUUAUAACCCAUUUUAUACAAAGAAACUAAGUUUUUAUCACUUUAGGAGAGUUUGUGUGCAUGCUAAUGAGAAAGAACACGGCCAAGUUGAAAUUCAGAGGCUGUAGGGGAUGAAUCCCUUCUUCUGUGAGUCAUUCUAACACAUUAGUAUUGCAAAGCUUAAAACCAAAAUUCAUUGCUCAGCAAAACUGCAAAUUGCUACAAGUUGCUUGAAAAUAGUCAAAAGGACAAAUUUUUAAAACUCAAAUGUCAAUAAUGUAUUGUAAUUGGACUCAAUCAUUGCAACAGACACCAUGAAGUAGAGGGUAGCACACAGAUGAAAAGAAAAACGAAAGGGAAUCCCAGCCAGGAGGAUUUAGAGUUAGAAAAUUUUCUGCUUUGGGCAACCCUCUGCUCUUCCAGGUGGUGGCAGUAGGAAGGUAGCAAAAGCAACAACGAACUAUCAAAGUAAAAAUGUUUUAGUGUUGCAAAUGUGAUUCUUACAAAUCCGAAGUAUGUCAAAAUUUACAUAAUUCAUUAAUGAAGGAAUAGAAGGAUGAUAAAGCUGAUUCAAAGAGCAUUUGGACAAAGAAAACCAUAAACAAAAAGAAUAGACAACAUACGGACUAGAAGAAAAUAUUUGCAAAUGAUGUGAUCUACAAGGGCUUAAUUUCUAAAAUAUACAAGCAGGUCAUACAAUUCAAUAAUAAAAAAAAAACCAACAACCCUAUCAAAAAGAGGGCUGAAGUUCUAAAUAGAUAUUUCUCCAAAGACAUGCAGAUGGCCAACAGGCACAUGAAAAGAUGCUCAUCAUUGCUAAAUAUUAGAGUGAUGCAAACCAAAACUACAAUGAGGUACCACCUCGUAUCAGUCAGAAUGGCCAUUGUUAAAAAGCCUACAAGUAAUAUGAUGGAGAUGGUGUAAAGAAAAAGGAAUCCUCUUAUACUGCUGCUGCAGCCACUAUGAAGAACAGUAGUUUUUAGUUUUCUCUAAAAACAAAAAACAGAGUUGCCAUAUGAUCCAGCAAUCCCACUCCUGGGCAUAUACUCAGUCAAAACUAUAAUUUGAAUAGAUAUGUGCACCUGUACAUUCAUAGCAGCACUAUUUACAACAGCCAUGACAUAGAAAAAACCUAAAUGUCCAUCCACAGAUGAAAGGAUAAAGAAAAUGUGGUAUGUACACACACAAUGGAAUACUUCUCAGUCCUUAAAAAGAACAAAAUAACUUUCAGCAACAUGGAUAGACCCAGAUAUUAUCAUACUAAGCGAAAUAAGUCAGAAAGAGAAAGGCAAACCAUAUGAUAUCACUUAUAUGUGGAAUCUAAAAUAUGACACAAAUCAUCAUAUUUAUAAAACAGAAACAGACUCACAGACAGCAGACCUGUGGUUGCCAGGAAGAGAGGGGUUGGGGGAGGGAAAGAUUAAUUUGGUAUUAGCAGAGGCAAACUAUUAUAUACAAGAUGGAUAAGCAACAUGGUCUUAACAUAUAGCACAAGGAACUAUAUUCAAUAUUCUGUGGUAAACCAUAAUGGAAAAGAAUACAUACGUGUGUGUGUGUGUGUGUGUGUGUGUGUGUGUGUGUGUGUGUGUGUGAGAAACUGAAUCACUUUGCUGUACAGCAGAAAUUAACACAACAUUGGAAACCAACUGUACUUCAAUUAAAAAAAAUUUUUUGAAGAAAAAAAUAAAACAUGUAGAGAACUGUUAGCUGAGUAGUUACAGAAACUGAAGGCAGACUGUUGGAGUAGAUUGCUAGGUUAGACAGAGGACUGGCUGAUAUUCUACAAAGCAAUAAAAUCAUCAUGAUAGGGUUAUGUUUUCUACUAGACAGAAAUCAUUUGCACUUCUACCAGAUAAAACUUUAUACAUUAAUAUGUGAUAUCACAGAAUGUGAUAAUCAAUCACAAUAUAUCAAACAAAAGGAUAUUCUCCCCAAAGAAUUAAGUAACUCUUUGGUGGGCCUGUUAAAUAAUGGUGCGGUAUGAUGCUAAAAGGACACACAGGCAUUCCCUUUGCUUUAUUUCCAGUUUUCUGGUAGUAUUUUUAACAGAACUGAAGCAGGAGAGCCUUCUCUUGGAGAGCUGCCUCUGGAGAAACACUUUAUUCUACUACAUUGGAAAUGUUUCUGGUCUGUUUUGAGGGAGAACCCUAGCCCCAGUUCCAAACUCUAAAAAUAUCCCUUCAGACCACAGCCUUAUCUUAGUAACAGAGAAUUUUGUUUGUAUUCCUCUCCUAAGCAAAAACAUAACUUAUGAAUUAAUGAUUGAAUGAAUCCCAUAUUUCAGUUUGACUUAUAAAUUCUCUGUGUUCAAAGAAUUUAUCAACUGUUGGAGUUCCCAUUAUGGCUCAGCAGUAACAAACCUGACUAGUAUCCAUGAGGACUCAGGUUUGAUCCCUGGCUUCGCUCGGUGGGUCAGGGAUCCGGCGUUGCGGUGAGCUGUGGUAUAUAGGCUGGCAGCCACAGCUCCAAUUGAACCCAUAGACUGGGAACUUCCAUAUGCCUUAGGUACGGCCCCAAAAAGACAAAAAAAAAAAAUCUCAACUCAAAAAGUAUUUUGUAAAUGGGAAGCAUCUUAGUUAAGGGUCUAAGCGUAAAAUAAUGUCCAGAAAGGUUAAGCCAUUUGCUCAAGGUCUCAACCUGUGAUUCUGAAACUUUGCUCAUAGAGAAAUUUAAAGCAGAAAAACACAUGGGACUAUAACAGCUGUAUAAAUUCCAGCUUCUGUGGUUGGUCUCUCGAUAACCGUGAUCUCUAACCCUUAAGUCAUGCUGCUGUGCCAGAAAACAGGCUUUAUAGCAAGGACCUCAUGUUUAAGGAUGGUGAGGACUUUUUGACUAUUAGUGAUUUUCUCCAAUAAGAUGCAGUGAAAUAAAUAGGUUAAUUCAGCUGCAGAAAAAGAAAAAAUUAAACCUAGAUAUAGCACCAUUUAAGUUGGCUAGUCACAUUAUUUCAUCUUUUAUAACUUGAUUUUCUUCUUUUUCCCAAUGAGAAAACUGCCUCCUUGACAAACACUUUCAUUUUAGUAAAUAAGGCCAUACUGCUGAAAUAAUCAGGUUUUAGAAAAGAUAGAGUAUACGAUGAAGCCAAAAGAACAAGAGAAUUUGACUAGUGAAUAACCUUGAUGGCAGAUUAGAAUGCACAUCAUUUCUCAUCUUCCUUUUAAUUCUCCUUAUCUACAAAUUGAAUUUCAAAUACAGGAUGGGCUGGUAGUGUUGAGGGUGAGUUUUAUUACUUACUUUCAAGUAUUUAUGUCAGUCAUGAUAAUUAUGCUUGAGCAGCAGUGGUCUUUCAUCAUGAAUUUGUGGAAUACUGAUUCUUCUGCUACCAAAAUUAUUCACUUAAAACCGGGGAUUUGGCAUUAGAAGAUGAAGCUCAAUGACUGUUCAAAACUGGUUGCUAAUUGCUGCCUUGAUUCUGUAAUCCCUAAAUUUCUCUGAACAAUAGGCUUCACACAAUUUAAAGUUAAUUCAAAUCUGCCAUAGUUUAAAAUAUAUGUGCAUACCACACGGCACUUUGACAUUUACGGAGACAGAGAAACCUGGCAGACAAAUAGGAUAAGCAAACUGGAAUGACAAAAUUCUGGAAAGUUUAAGAAUAGUUGUAAUAUCAAAAAUACACCUUUUUAGUUAUAUUUCAAGUUUUAACUCUAUAGUAUCCAUAGUUAUCUUAAAUCUUAAGUGGAGGCUUAAUACUUACUAUCCAACCUGGACUAUUCAAAGUAUGUGUUUUAUUAAAAUCCUCUGAAUACACUAUUUGAAAUGACUGAAUAGAAAUUGUUUAAAGUGGGAGCUGAUGGUUCUUAUUCAGCUUUCUUGUUAAUAAACACCUUUUAAAAUAAAUGAGCAUAUCCUAAUACAGAACAGAUAUUUCAAUAAAAUUUGGACAGCUUAGGCUACCUAAGGCAGUGUUUCCUAAUAGUGUUCUUGGCACAUUCUAUUCUCCUACUUUGGCUAAAUGUAAACUAAAAAGAAGUGUUACUAGAGUUCAGUACAACUCAGAGACCAGAAGAGGGGUCCUGGUGGCAUCAAUCCCAUGCUCUAACCAACAAACUGGAGACUUCAAAGGGCAGAGAUCCUUUAGGGUUGAGGAAUCAGCCCCCGAAGGGUGGAGGAACUUCAGCAUCUCCAUUCUGCUAGAAAAAAAAAGGUUUCCAAUCAUUCUCUAAAAAUAUGAUGAAAGGACAAUGAUUCUGUUCAUUUUUAAAUUAAAUGUACGCGUAGAGGUAUGCCUAAGGGAAAGAGGGAGCUGAAAUUCCUAGGUUCCUAAAAUUUGAAACUUGUUAAGGUUCAAAGUGUCCUUUGCUGGGAUAGACCAGGAUGGAAAAUAAUAUUAAAAAAGAAUGCAUGUAUAUGUAUGACCAAGUCACUGUAUUGUACAGCAGAAAUUGGCACAUCGUGGAUCAACUGUACUUUAAUAAAAAUUUUAAAAAUUUAAAAAACACACAAAAAGGUGUCCUUUGGCUUUUGAAUCACAUCUAUAUUGCUGCUGACCUUUUUUUCCCCUCUACACCUCCUUAACAUCACUAGAAAUUUGUAUCUUGAGGAAAAUGUAUCAUUUUAAAAACAAAAUUCCUAGGAGUUCCUGUUGUGGCUCAGCAGAAACGAAUAUGACUAGUAUCUAUGAGGAUGUGGGUUUGAUCCCAGGACUUACUCAGUGGGUUGAGGAUCUAGGUGUCUGUCUCCUUGAGCUGUGGUGUAGGUCGCAGAUGUGGCU
rnacentral:lncRNA from 1 species